GGCAUAGAGAUGACUUCCACUGCAAUUGUAUUUUUAACAGUUGGCACGUCAGGUGGCAUGGAAGUGCCAGCUUUGAGCUGAUCAUAGUAUCUUUCUUUCAUGAGCUUUUUUCCUGUGGUGAAUAUUUGUGUUUGCAAAGACUCAGGAACUGGCAAUAACGAGAAACCAAAUUUUCUGUUGACUCAGGGGCUUCACUUUUCAGUACUGUCAUUUCCUUUCUGAUAUACACAGCCUCAGUGAAUACCCAUCUGCACUGCCCUAGAGAUGACCUUGAGGAACUCCUGGUAGCGGGUGUUUGGUUUGCAGAAAGGAGACAGUUCAGUCUCCAUCAUGUCUCUGAAAGAUGAACGUGAAUCACACUAAUUUUAUUGAACUAUUCAAGUUCCAGGAUGAAUCUGCUGAGCCCUGCUCUUCCCUCCCCAUAGGAAGAAGGGCCCACAAUCAUUCAGAAGACACGUGAGCUCAUUUGGCUACCCCUCAAUGGUAGCAAUACAAGGAUCUGUGAUGCUUAUGAGACUACAGGUGUGGAUAUGGAGAAAUUUGUUAUGUGAAGAUAAGCUGCACAUGCCAUUCACUGUUGGCAAAUGUAAAGUAAUGAGGCAUGGUGUGUGGAAUUCACUGCAAAGUAUCCCAUCCUUAUCCCUCAACUCAGAUGUCUCUCUGUAUAUUCACCCACAUCAUAGAGAUGGGUGUCAACCAAGUGCUCGAUCCAAACAUCUCAGAACCUUGGAGAGAAGAAAUGGGAAUCAGAACCCAGAUCUGCAUUGUACAUCUGGCUUUUGUCUCAGUAAUGGGCCAAAACAAAACACUGGAUCCAAACACUGCUUUUUGGAGGUGGGGGGGUGCUUUUGUAUUUUACUACUCAGGCCUAGAUAAUGAACACAUUGAGUCUAUAAUCCCAUAUCGAUAUGAUUUAUUAUUUAUGCAGUCCCAGAGAUGUGCAAAGGGAUUAUAUGUAUUAUUUCAUCUUUUCCAGGGAUGCUUACUGUAGCAGGGUCUUGGGACAAAAGCACCUAAUUAGCCCCUGCCCAGUCAGCUCCAAUCAGGGGAAACAGAUUGGGGCUAAUGGAAAAGUCCUGAUGCUGGCCUGAGGAUUGGCAACACCUGCUGGCCUGAGAAGCCAAGGGCUAUAAAGGCUGGGAGGGAGCCAGACAGCUGGGGGCAGUCAGGGAGA